GACGAACGCUGGCGGCGUGCUUAACACAUGCAAGUCGAACGGAAAGGCCCUGCUUUUGUUGGGUGCUCGAGUGGCGAACGGGUGCGUAACACGUGAGUAACCUGCCCUUGACUUUGGGAUAACUUCAUGAAACUGGGGCUAAUACCGGAUAGGUGCUCCUGCUCCAUUGUGGGGGUUGGAAAGUUUCGGCGGUUGGGGAUGGACUCGCGGCUUGUCAGCUUGUUGGUGGGGGAGUGGCUUACCAAGGUGUUGACGUGUAGCCGGCCUGAGAGUGUUACCGGACAGAUGGGGACUGAGAUACGGCCGAGACUCCUGCGUGAGGCAGCAGUGGGGAAGACUGUACAAUGGGGGGAAGCCUGAUGCAGCAACCCCGCGUGCGGGAUGACGGCCUACGGGUUGUAAACCGCUUUCGCUUGUGAUGAAGCGUGAGUGACGGUAACGGGUAAAGAAGCACCGGCUAACUACGUG
rnacentral:rRNA from 1 species